rnacentral:rRNA from 1 species
UACGUAGGGUGCGAGCGUUGUCCGGAAUUAUUGGGCGUAAAGAGCUCGUAGGCGGUGUGUUACGUCGAUCGUGAAAACUUACAGCUUAACUGUGAGCGUGCGGUCGAUACGGGCAUCACUGGAGUUCGGCAGGGGAGACUGGAAUUCCUGGUGUAGCGGUGAAAUGCGCAGAUAUCGGGAGGAACACCUAUGGCGAAGGCAGCUCGCUGGGACGGUAUUGACGCUGAGGCGCGAAAGCGUGGGGAGCAAACAGG